GUCCAUAUGACGAGUGUCAAAUAGGACGAAAAGCUCAUCCUGGAU
rnacentral:hammerhead_ribozyme from 1 species